CUCAUUAUAUUAUAGAUCCCUGUAUGAGGUACUACAACACUGACGGUGUUAACCUCUAACCUCUCCUCCCUCAUUAUAUUAUAGAUCCCUGUAUGAGGUACUACAACACUGACGGUGUUAACCUCUAACCUCUCCUCCCUCAUUAUAUUAUAGAUCCCUGUAUGAGGAACUACAACAACACUGACGGUGUUAACCUCUAACCUCUCCUCCCUCAUUAUAUUAUAGAUCCCUGUAUGAGGUACUACAACACUGACAGUGUUAACCUCUAACCUCUCCUCCCUCAUUAUAUUACAGAUCCCUGUAUGAGGUACUACAACACUGACAGUGUUAACCUCUAACCUCUCCUCCCUCAUUAUAUUACAGAUCCCUGUAUGAGGUACUACAACACUGACGGUGUUAACCUCUAACCUCUCCUCCCUCAUUAUAUUAUAGAUCCCUGUAUGAGGAACUACAACACUGACGGUGUUAACCUCUAACCUCUCCUCCCUC